rnacentral:tRNA from 1 species
GCCACCGUAGCUCAGAUGGCAGAGCAACUGAUUCGUAAUCAGUAGGUCCGCGGUUCGAAUCCGCGCGGUGGCU